CCCAGAGAGACUUACAGCAGUGAUAUGUUUUCGUACAGGUCCCCCGUGGGAAUCAACCCCAGAGAGACUUACAGCAGUGAUAUGUUUUCGUACAGGUCCCCCGUGGGAAUCAAACCCAGAGAGACUUACAGCAGUGAUAUGUUUUCGUACAGGUCCCCCGUGGGAAUCAAACCCAGAGAGACUUACAGCAGUGAUAUGUUUUCGUACAGGUCCCCCGUGGGAAUCAACCCCAGAGAGACUUACAGCAGUGAUAUGUUUUCGUACAGGUCCCCCGUGGGAAUCAAACCCAGAGAGACUUACAGCAGUGAUAUGUUUUCGUACAGGUCCCCCGUGGGAAUCAAACCCAGAGAGACUUACAGCAGUGAUAUGUUUUCGUACAGGUCCCCCGUGGGAAUCAACCCCAGAGAGACUUACAGCAGUGAUAUGUUUUCGUACAGGUCCCCCGUGGGAAUCAAACCCAGAGAGACUUACAGCAGUGAUAUGUUUUCGUACAGGUCCCCCGUGGGAAUCAAACCCAGAGAGACUUACAGCAGUGAUAUGUUUUCGUACAGGUCCCCCGUGGGAAU